UACGGAGGAUCCAAGCGUUAUCCGGAAUCAUUGGGUUUAAAGGGUCCGCAGGCGGUCAAUUAAGUCAGAGGUGAAAUCCCAUAGCUUAACUAUGGAACUGCCUUUGAUACUGGUUGACUUGAGUCAUAUGGAAGUAGAUAGAAUGUGUAGUGUAGCGGUGAAAUGCAUAGAUAUUACACAGAAUACCGAUUGCGAAGGCAGUCUACUACGAAUGUACUGACGCUGAUGAGCGAAAGCUAGGGGAGCAAACAGG
rnacentral:rRNA from 1 species